ensembl:lncRNA
AGUAGCCUACAGAAUGCUUGAAAAAAAAUCUUAUUCUGAUCUUUUUCCAUUUCAUUCUCAGAUAAACCAACUGAAGCUCCGCGAACCACCGUGGCUGCACCAACCUGUCUGUUCAGAAAUGACACGCAGCAGUCACAGACUCUACAUCUUGCCGACGAAUCCUUCCAGUCAACAUUUAGUCUGAACCUGGCCUCUCUGGUUUACACAGUGAUGAUAAUGAAGAGCAUGGUGUACUGCUGUGGGCUCUCUAUCCUGCUGCACCACAGGAGCUUGGGAAGAGGACCCAGCACCUGUAGACACAUUCAUUGAAAGGAGACCACCCCCCAUGUAUGGAUAGAAUUGUAGAGGGCGGUAAACAACAUGGACUUUACAUCCCAUUGAGGUCUAACAUUUCAUUUGUAUUGCUUUUAUUUUUCCUGCUUUAUUUUCUAGAUGCUACAAUAUUGUGAGCCAUAGUUUUCCAUGUCUUCUAAUAGCUUCAACUGCCAAAUAUGACAAUUGCAGCACAUUUAAUUUUGUAUAUGGAGUAAUGUUACCCUCCUUAUGUGGGAGCUACCCACUGCAGACACAUGAAUAAAGGUUUUCUGGAAAAUAAGCAGAGCAAAUCUUGAAUGUAAAUAAAUUAUGAUUUUAAUUGAGACUUUUUUUGGUAAAGUUGCCCUGCAAUAUGUCAGAGGUAGGCCUAAAUUAUACUCACAACCUGUAUUUAAUUUAUACAAAAUAUGUACCUAAAUGUGUAGGCCCAUGAGUUCUAAAUCAUUAUCAAAUAUAAUAUGUUGUAACUUGUCUUGUAUUGAAGUGUAAUUUUUCUCAAUAAAUUAGUUUUUCUAACAUAGUAUUUCACAUCUUAAUUAAUGAAUAGGAGAAUCAAUUGUUGCUUUAAAUAUCUGAAUGCUGAGUGCUUAUUGAGCAUAAAAAUUGGGCUAUGCAAAAUCAUUUAUUUGUGCUUUUUUACAUUUAAUACAAUGUUUUUUUAUGCAGCUUUUAUGAAGAGUAACACAGCCUGCUCAAAUUAACCAAGUUGCUCAAAAUAAUAAUAUCCUUUCAGAUGAGGAUGGAUUUAAUAAACGCUGCCUUUGCGAAUGAAUAGUCACAACAAUGGUUCUGCAAAUUAUUGUAGAUAACUUUUUUAAAGUUCCUUGCUGCUUUGUAUGAAUAAAGGCUACCUAAUCCCCCCCCCCCCAAAAAAAAAUAUAUAACAUAGCAUUUCUUUACUAUAAGAUCAUCUAUUCAUAUUUGUGAAUGUUAUUUGAUUGAAUCUUAUCAGAAGCGAAACAAUACAAUUGUAAGAUCCCCUAUUCUCUGUUUUCAACUUGUUUGCUUCAAUGUGCAUGUACCAACACAGAUGUUGAGCCUAGACUCAAUAGUGGUGGGAAAAUGUGGUUAAUGUAUAUUUGGUUUUCUGAAGAAAUGUGAAACGGUAGUUACUGGAAACAAGAUAUAGCUACCUGCAUAACCACAGCUUGAGUGUGUGAAGAGAUAGUUAUCCAAAGCUGCUGGAUGAUUCAUUUUUAUCUUGGUCCGUUUUCAGCUCCAUUUGUGGGUUCGGCUCCUGCCAUCAAAUUGAAGAAUAUGACACCGAUAGGAAGACGAGUCCAUAAUGGUAGCUUAUGGUUCCUGCAUUUGUAGUAUUAUAGCCCUAUGACAAAACAAGCUCUUACUUCAGUUUGUGUACUUUUUUUACCUUGAAACAAUCAAAUUAAAUGAAAUCAGGGUGGAGUGUUUAGUUUGUUUUUAACACAUCUUUGGAAAGGAAACUAACAUUGUUAUCCAAAGUAGUAAAUACAGUAGACUUAUGUUUCCGUUAUGUUAUUACCAUUUAUUCUGUUUUAAUGUAACGCCCUAACAAAAUGUUGUCUUAAUUGCUUUCUUUUAUCUACACUUCCCAAAGAAGAACAAUAUGUGCAAGUGUUACAUUUAAUUAAAAUCUAAAGAAAUGCAAAACAGAACUUAUAUACACCUAUAAUACUAUCAAUAACAGAAAUUAAUCAUAGAAUUGUAACUUUCACAUAUACACUUUAUUGAAUUGACAACCAAUGUAAUUCAUGAUCAAAUAUGGUAGGUAAUUGUUAGGCUACUUUAUAAACACACACAAGCUUGUCACUGAAAAUUAACUUGGUGUCUUAAAAGGUAAACUUUAUUAAUUUACUGUAUUGAAUAAGAGAGUGCUCUGUUUAGUGGCUCUUCAAUAUAGAACACUAAGGCCAGGAUUAAAUCUGAUCAGGCUUUGACAGCGUGCACCUUAAAAAGGCAACCCAAAAGGUCGCUGUCUGUAACCCCACGGAAAUAUUACCACAAUCAAAAAAUCCCCAUAACCAGUCAGUUUGAGUUAUGAGUUGCAUUGAAUGCGUCUCAAUGCACCGCAUCUGUCAAUGUUGCACUUCUGCAUCUGCGGUGAAAGGUGACAGAGCUAGAGCAGUGUUUGUCAAAUCAUGAGACGUCCCGGUAAUCAGUCUUCUCACAAAAAUCGUCUGUAGCGUCCAAACGGUUUGGCCUAUACCCUAUUAUGAACGCUCUAUGGAAAGAUGACACUCUCACGAACACGAUGGUGCUCUGUAUUUUGUGGUGUCUGAACAGUUUCGGCUACAUACCCCUCUGUGGAAAGGUGAGACUCUCACAGGCCCUAUAAAGACUAUAUAUGGUCACUGUUUAGUGCCAAAAAUAAGUGGCUAAAAUGUUUCCUGAACUUUAUUACAUCUCUCAGAUAGACAUUUCAAAACAAAUGUCUUUCGAUUAUUAUUUUUUUUUGGGGGGGGGGGGCUACGUUGUUCCAUGUAUUGAAUCUGUAAUUCAAUGACUUUCUAUUGGCUAAUAGCAGUAAGUCCAAAAUAUUUUCUCAAUUUAUUUUGUUGAUAUUUGAAGGGG